GUUGACCAUACACUGUGGAAAAAGGAAAACAACAGAAACUUUCAAGAGCUAAGUCUGAGUUGACAUUGAUAACCAGAGACUCAAAAAAUCAUUAUAGCCCCCAUUCAGUGUGGGGUCCUGAGGAAACCAGUGAUCUAGAAGCAGCCUAAUACAACUUGGAGACCAGGAUGACUCCGCCAGUCACCUCCCUCCCACACCACCAGAGAACAUUUCUAGGGGAAGAGAUUAAAGCUUUGGUACCAUAGAAGAGAUACUGGAGAUGAAGCUGGGCAGAGUUUCAGCAGUGGCUACUACUCUCUACCCACAGUCAGCAUGAUGUGAAACUUUCUUAGGAAUCUCUCCUAUCUUCUGUCUGACUUCCUGGUAGUAUCCAUGGAGGAAAGGACUAAUAGAAGGUGAAAAUUCUCCCUUGUCUACUACCCAGAGACUUCAUACCCAUAUGUAGCCUUCAGUAAUUUAUUAAACUUUUUAAGCUCUUUAUUGAUUGAUUGAUUGA